rnacentral:lncRNA from 1 species
CGCCUUUAUGACGUCAUUUACCAGAUAGAGGGGGUCGCCUGUAUCCCUGCACUAUUUACGUUCAUCAAGCGUCUUAGUGAUCGUCUUUGUGCAGGAUAAACUAGAAAUAAUGGUUGCUCUGUAGGUACUUACUGACAAUUCCCUAAUGACAGCAGUGUUGAUUGUCAAUUUUGAGAAUUCAAUUUGCCGAAUAAUUCGUACAAUAUAGAAUUAUAGUUUUCCAACCACUCGCUCAACAUUGGAAGGAAGUGACGACGCCCCUAAACGCACAAAUGACGGUGAUAAAGGCGCGUAUAAUUGACGAGUUUUUUCCGGUGACGGAUGAACUCGAAAG